GACGAACGCUGGCGGCGUGCUUAACACAUGCAAGUCGAACGGAAAGGCCCUGCUUUUGUGGGGUGCUCGAGUGGCGAACGGGUGAGUAACACGUGAGUAACCUGCCCUUGACUUUGGGAUAACUUCAGGAAACUGGGGCUAAUACCGGAUAGGAGCUCCUGCUGCAUGGUGGGGGUUGGAAAGUUUCGGCGGUUGGGGAUGGACUCGCGGCUUAUCAGCUUGUUGGUGGGGUAGUGGCUUACCAAGGCUUUGACGGGUAGCCGGCCUGAGAGGGUGACCGGCCACAUUGGGACUGAGAUACGGCCCAGACUCCUACGGGAGGCAGCGGUGGGGAAUAUUGCACAAUGGGCGGAAGCCUGAUGCAGCAACGCCGCGUGCGGGAUGACGGCCUUCGGGUUGUAAACCGCUUUCGCCUGUGACGAAGCGUGAGUGACGGUAAUGGGUAAAGAAGCACCAGCUAACUACGUG
rnacentral:rRNA from 1 species